rnacentral:rRNA from 1 species
GACGAACGCUGGCGGCGUGCCUAAUACAUGCAAGUAGAACGCUGAAGGAGGAGCUUGCUUCUCCGGAUGAGUUGCGAACGGGUGAGUAACGCGUAGGUAACCUGCCUGGUAGCGGGGGAUAACUAUUGGAAACGAUAGCUAAUACCGCAUAAGAGUAGAUGUUGCAUGACAUUUGCUUAAAAGGUGCAAUUGCAUCACUACCAGAUGGACCUGCGUUGUAUUAGCUAGUUGGUGAGGUAACGGCUCACCAAGGCGACGAUACAUAGCCGACCUGAGAGGGUGAUCGGCCACGCUGGGACUGAGACACGGCCCAGACUCCUACGGGAGGCAGCAGUAGGGAAUCUUCGGCAAUGGACGGAAGUCUGACCGAGCAACGCCGCGGGAGUGAAGAAGGUUGUCGGAUCGUAAAGCUCGGUUGUAAGAGAAGAACGAGUGUGAGAGUGGAAAGUUCACACUGUGACGGUAUCUUACCAGAAAGGGACGGCUAACUACGUG